rnacentral:rRNA from 1 species
GUACUCAGUUCGGAUUGAAGGCUGAAAUUGCCUUCAUGAAGCUGGAAUUGCUAGUAAUGGCAGGUCAGCAUACUGCCGUGAAUACGUUCCCGGGCCUUGUACACACCGCCCGUCACACCAUGAGAGUUUGUAACACCCAAAGCCGGUGGGGUAACCUUUUGGAGCCAGCCGUCUAAGGUGGGACAGAUGAUUGGGGUGAAGUCGUAACAAGGUACC